rnacentral:antisense_RNA from 1 species
UUCAACGGGCGGGCGAUGGUGGGGAUACCUUCGGGUAUGCCGGGUGCCUUGAGUUCCGGUUCGCCAACCCUGUCAUCUGCCCGCUCACCUCA